GUACUUUCAGCAGUGAGGAAGGCGAGUACGUUAAUAGCGUGCUCGUUUGACGUUAGCUGCAGAAGAAGCACCGGCUAACUCCGUGCCAGCAGCCGCGGUAAUACGGAGGGUGCGAGCGUUAAUCGGAAUUACUGGGCGUAAAGCGCAUGCAGGUGGUUUGUUAAGUCAGAUGUGAAAGCCCCGGGGCUCAACCUCGGAAUUGCAUUUGAAACUGGCAGACUAGAGUACUGUAGAGGGGGUAGAAUUUCAGGUGUAGCGGUGAAAUGCGUAGAGAUCUGAAGGAAUACCAGUGGCGAAGGCGGCCCCCUGGACAAAGACUGACGCUCAGACUGCGAAAGCGUGGGGAGCCAAACAGGAUUAGAUACCCUGGUAG
rnacentral:rRNA from 1 species